UCCUGGCUCAGAGCGAACGCUGGCGGCGUGCUUAACACAUGCAAGUCGCACGAAGGUUUCGGCCUUAGUGGCGGACGGGUGAGUAACGCGUAGGAAUCUAUCCAUGGGUGGGGGAUAACUCUGGGAAACUGGAGCUAAUACCGCAUGACACCUUAGGGUCAAAGGCGUAAGUCGCCUGUGGAGGAGCCUGCGUUUGAUUAGCUUGUUGGUGGGGUAAUGGCCUACCAAGGCGAUGAUCAAUAGCUGGUCUGAGAGGAUGAUCAGCCACACUGGGACUGAGACACGGCCCAGACUCCUACGGGAGGCAGCAGUGGGGAAUAUUGGACAAUGGGGGCAACCCUGAUCCAGCAAUGCCGCGUGUGUGAAGAAGGUUUUCGGAUUGUAAAGCACUUUCGGCGGGGACGAUGAUGACGGUACCCGCAGAAGAAGCCCCGGCUAACUUCGUGCCAGCAGCCGCGGUAAUACGAAGGGGGCUAGCGUUGCUCGGAAUGACUGGGCGUAAAGGGCGUGUAGGCGGUUUGUACAGUCAGAUGUGAAAUCCCCGGGCUUAACCUGGGAGCUGCAUUUGAUACGUGCAGACUAGAGUGUGAGAGAGGGUUGUGGAAUUCCCAGUGUAGAGGUGAAAUUCGUAGAUAUUGGGAAGAACACCGGUGGCGAAGGCGGCAACCUGGCUCAUAACUGACGCUGAAGCGCGAAAGCGUGGGGAGCAAACAGGAUUAG
rnacentral:rRNA from 1 species